GUUGAGAUGAUGGCGAGUGGGACGCCGGAUUCGCAAGCCCGAUUUGGUCAGUCGGUGAAGGGGCUUCUCACGGAAAAGGUGAACACCUGCGGCACCGACGUAAUCGCGCUCACCAAGCAGGUGCUGAAAGGCUCGCGAAGCUCUGAGGUGAGCCGGGCGUGGGAUCCCCGGGCCCAGUCCUCUUCCCAGCGCUCGCUCCGGGAGAGGCGGCGCACUGCAUCCUGGGAAGUGUAGGCUUUUGGCCCAGGCGCGUGUUGCAUUCUGGGUGCGUUUCUUCAGUUUAGGUUGAAUGCAUGUAGCUAGAAGAGAUGGUGUGAAGUGGAGAAACACAGGCAGAUGAGCUGCCGCUCCUACACGGUGCCUGUUUGUGUUCAUGGGCCUCUGUAGUGAACACCAGUCGCCUUUCAAACUCGGCUUGGCGUUGGUCCAAGAU
rnacentral:lncRNA from 1 species